CUACGGGGGGCUCCAGUGGGGAAUAUUGCACAACGGGCGCAAGCCUGAUGCAGCCAUGCCGCGUGUAUGAAGAAGGCCUUCGGGUUGUAAAGUACUUUCAGCGGGGAGGAAGGGAGUAAAGUUAAUACCUUUGCUCAUUGACGUUACCCGCAGAAGAAGCACCGGCUAACUCCGUGCCAGCAGCCGCGGUAAUACGGCGGGUGCAAGCGUUAAUCGGAAUUACUGGGCGUAAAGCGCACGCAGGCGGUUUGUUAAGUCAGAUGUGAAAUCCCCGGGCUCAACCUGGGAACUGCAUCUGAUACUGGCAAGCUUGAGUCUCGUAGAGGGGGGUAGAAUUCCAGGUGUAGCGGUGAAAUGCGUAGAGAUCUGGAGGAAUACCGGUGGCGAAGGCGGCCCCCUGGACGAAGACUGACGCUCAGGUGCGAAAGCGUGGGGAGCAAACAGGAUUAGAUACCCGUGUAGUC
rnacentral:rRNA from 1 species